UCUAAACAUCAUCUUAUUGCAGCAGAUGAUGUUAAUUGUCUUCAUUUUAUACUGUGAAACAUCUUUGUUGAUGUCACUGUUUUGGGGAGUUGGCCACCGACAGGAGUUCCCAUCAAAAGUGCUUUAUGGUACUUGCACAGCACCUAUAGUGGCUAGAAAUCCUCUUGUUCCUUUGUUGCCUGAUUGUUAUGAAAGGGAGCUGAAAGUGUGUAUUCUUUGUGAUUCUUGAAAAGCUUCAGGGCCUUGUUAAAAUCCCACUCAGCCUGCCUUGGACAGAAUCACAGCCUGAAGCACCACCAGCCAGCCAGUGCCGUGCUCUCUGUGAGGGUUGUUAGCAGCACCCAAGAUAAUUUUCCAUGGGAGUUGGGGAACUCAUAGGUACUGGAAAAAAUGCAGCCAAGAGCCUCUAAAGUUGCAGCAGGAUGAAGGAGAUGUCCCCCAAGGAGCAGAUGUUUGAGUACCCCAGGGUGUAGAACCCAAUGUGUGUGUGGUAACAAGAGUUACAGUUCAAGGUCAGGUUCUCUUUUAUAUGAGUUCUGAAAUCUUCAUUUCGUAGCAUUUAAGUGCUUGGCUUUGAAGAAGAGAAGCUUUUUGCAGGCUGUACUUUUUCAGUGUUCCACAUGCCUGUCUUUGCAGGAGUACAAAAUCCCACUUCAUGGCACCAGUAGAAAGGGAAGAUUUACAUAGGUGCACACCUGGAUGGAAAGUGUACUUCUGAUCCUGGCAGACACCACACACUGAAACAAAACUGAACUGCUGAAAAUGUUCUGAUAUAUCCAGUGAAGUGCAGUGCACAGACAGAAUGGAAACGAAAGAGAGGAAAUGGAGGCACAGCUCCCUGCAUGCAUGAGAAAAGCCAGCAAGAAAGGCUCAGGAUACUGAGAGGAAGGCAGGGACCGAAACUGCUCCUAAACACCACCUGCGCAGAGGGAAAUAAAGGAGAUAGGGAUCAUGUUCACAGGCACAGAAAAUCCCAGGGUGGUGUUUUCCUGAGAGUGGGAGCUGGGGAGGCAGCUGUACUGUACACUCUGGGUAUUUUAAAGGACGAAGCCUUGUGUUUUUUCUCCUCCCCUUCUGCUAUUCACAGUUGUGUUUGGAUACUGGAAAAGCUGAAUUAAUGAGACAAAUUCCAAAUGUGUUGAUUCACGGUUGUGCUGAGCUCUAGUGAAAUGACUUGAUGACUAAUUCGUACCUGAAACUGUCCAGACUGGAAUAUCGUGGAGGCUCCUGCUUUCCUUGCAGUGGAGUCAGAGUUACUCCUCUGUACUUUAGUGUGCAGGAUUGAAUCGUACUCGAGGUCUCAGCCAUGAGAGCAGGGAGUACAGGCUGAAGUGCAUUGAAUGAGUUGUGCCUGGUGAAUUGAGCUCUUUUCCCUUUUCCCCCAGAAUGGCAGCAGCACCAGCAGCUCCCAUGUCGGGAUGAAUGCUAACACUCUCUGCAAAUGCCUUGUGGUGGCACAAAGGGCUCGAUGGCAGAGGCUUCAAAGGCAUUAUUCCUCUUCCAUCGCUGCCUUUGUCCUUCUUUCAAGCGGAUAACUCACAUAUUUGCACUGACUGCUCCAGAGAGCUGGGAGCAGAAGCAACAGCAUGAAACUAAUGUGAUGCUUUAGAAUUUCCCUGCCACUUACUGGGUGUUGAAUAGCUGUAAUUAAAUUAACCAGUAUAUUGAUUUCAGCACGCUGCUUGGGAAAGAGCAGAGCAGGAGCACAGGCAUGGGAGCUGUGGCUUGGGAAUCUAGAGCAGACUAAUAAACUAAUGAUGGUUAUCCUCUCCAAUCUGGUUGGGCCUUGAUGAAAUAAGUUGAUGGCCUUGCAGAGUAAUUCCUAAUAACAAAAAAAAAAAAAAUACUAAGCUCUGUAGGUUUAGAGAUGGCCACAGGAGUGAACAGGCCUGUCUUGGUUUGCUUAGAGCUUGGUUUUGUGUUAAACAAUCUGUGUCACUGAUGAGAGUGUUCAAAACAUCUCAAAAGAUGUGGACAGUCCAUCAUCCCUUCAGCAAUCCCUUCGGGCACAGAACUAGGAGUACAGACUUAAAGGCUGAGGGAUCUGAAGUGGGUGUUUUUUCAUGUUUUAAGAACUUUUAUUCCAUUUUCAGUCUCAUAUGAAAAGUAUAACAAUACAAAUGUUAUAAUUCACACCAUUACAAUCAAAAACCAACUAUUUCUUAAUUACAAUACACUGUAAACAUUUCUUAACCUAUCAACUUUUACCACACUAUACCACAAAUACCUUAAAAUCAAUCAUCUAAAAUUUCCUCUCAUACGUCCUACUACAAAAGCUUUCAUAGUUCUAUUUCUCUAAAAUAUCUAAUCUUUUUUACAAAACCACCUUUUAAAACUUAUUUCUAAUUCUAUUUCUCUCUCAACAAUAUCUGUCCUAUUCCAUAACAUUUCUAAAUAAACAUUUCUUAUCUCAAAA